AUGCCACAAAACUACACAAAAACAAGAAAAUAUCUAAGAACACAACUACAAGAAAAAUGGAUGAAAGAAGAUGCACUUGCACACGGGAUCAGAAGGAAAUUAAAGAUGUUAUCAACCGCUGGACAUCAGAAAUACAGACCAACUUUGCUUCAUCACAUCCCAAAAAGAAGACUUUUUGGGAAAAAACAUAGAAAAAAUAAAAAAAUUGGCAAAGUCAUCAUCAGAGACUUAAAUACUAAGAAUCAGAUCAUAGAUCAUAUUGUUGCAGUAUUUUCUCAUCCUUUGAUCAUUUACUGGGUGUGGGAGUAA
rnacentral:rRNA from 1 species